rnacentral:rRNA from 1 species
GAUGAACGCUGGCGGCGUGCCUAAUACAUGCAAGUCGAGCGAACGGACGAGAAGCUUGCUUCUCUGAUGUUAGCGGCGGACGGGUGAGUAACACGUGGAUAACCUACCUAUAAGACUGGGAUAACUUCGGGAAACCGUAGCUAAUACCGGAUAAUAUUUUGAACCGCAUGGUUCAAAAGUGAAAGACGGUCUUGCUGUCACUUAUAGAUGGAUCCGCGCUGCAUUAGCUAGUUGGUAAGGUAACGGCUUACCAAGGCAACGAUGCAUAGCCGACCUGAGAGGGUGAUCGGCCACACUGGAGCUGAGACACGGUCCAGACUCCUACGGGAGGCAGCAGUAGGGAAUCUUCCGCAAUGGGCGAAAGCCUGACGGAGCAACGCCGCGUGAGUGAUGAAGGUCUUCGGACCGUAAAACUCUGUUAUUAGGGAAGAACAUAUGUGUAAGUAACUGUGCACAUCUUGACGGUACCUAAUCAGAAAGCCACGGCUAACUACGUG